UACAGAGGGGGCAAGCGUUGUUCGGAAUUACUGGGCGUAAAGGGCGCGUAGGCGGCCUGUUAAGUCGAACGUGAAAUCCCCGGGCUCAACCCGGGAACUGCGUCCGAUACUGGCAGGCUUGAAUCCGGGGAGAGGGAUGCGGAAUUCCAGGUGUAGCGGUGAAAUGCGUAGAUAUCUGGAGGAACACCGGUGGCGAAGGCGGCAUCCUGGACCGGCA
rnacentral:rRNA from 1 species